rnacentral:rRNA from 1 species
AGCAGCCGCGGUAAUUCCAGCUCCAAUAGCGUAUAUUAAAGUUGUUGCAGUUAAAAAGCUCGUAGUUGAAUUUCGGGAUUAAUGGAUCGGUCAUGCCGUUGGUAUGUACUGAUUUUAUUGAUUCUCACCUUCUAAAGAACCAUAAUGCCAUUAAUUUGGUGUUGUGGGGAAUUAGGACUGUUACCUUGAAAAAAUUAGAGUGUUUAAAGCAGGCAUACGCUUGAAUACAUUAGCAUGGAAUAACGAAAUAGGACAUCGCAUUCUAUUUUGUUGGUUUCUAGGAUCGAUGUAAUGAUUAAUAGGGAUAGUUGGGGGCAUUAGUAUUCAAUUGUCAGAGGUGAAAUUCUUGGAUUUAUUGAAGACUAACUACUGCGAAAGCAUUUGCCAAGGAUGUUUUCAUUAAUCAAGAACGAAAGUUAGGGGAUCGAAGACGAUCAGAUACCGUCGUAGUCUUAACCAUAAACUAUGCCGACUAGGGAUCGGAUGAUGUUAAUUUUUUAAUGACUCAUUCGGA